AUACGGAGGGGGUUAGCGUUGUUCGGAAUUACUGGGCGUAAAGCGUACGUAGGCGGAUUAGUAAGUUAGGGGUGAAAUCCCGAGGCUCAACCUCGGAACUGCCUCUAAAACUGCUAGUCUUGAGCUCGAGAGAGGUGAGUGGAAUUCCUAGUGUAGAGGUGAAAUUCGUAGAUAUUAGGAGGAACACCAGUGGCGAAGGCGGCUCACUGGCUCGAUACUGACGCUGAGGUACGAAAGUGUGGGGAGCAAACAGGAUUAGAAACCCUAGUAGUCC
rnacentral:rRNA from 1 species